CGGUGAGGUAGUUUGCGUCGGAUGGGUUUUCAAGGUCAGCUCCUGCAUCUGAGGCAUCAGGUUCUUCAACUUGUCUGUCCAUCUCAUGGUAUGGCUUGACAAACUUUGCAGGCAGCCACCGCAGACCUGUAGGUGUACCAAGGAGAGGUUACAUUAGUCCAGGAAGUCAGAUCACCUCUUCCCCAUUGGCCGUGGUGGGCAUACAUUUGCCCUCCAAACAUGAAACAGGAAUUACUUCCAUUCAAUGAUCCCAAUAAUUCUAACUCCUGUGGGUCCCAUGGUAGAGUGGUAUUGAGAUUCUGUAUUAUUAAGGCUGCUGCAGCUCCUAUAUUAUUGUUGCAAGUUUGUUUGUCAUUGUACCAUGAGUUGCAUGUAUGGAUAAUUAUUUUCAAAUCUAAUAUGGUUUUGUUACCCAUUUUUGCCAGUCUGUCAACAGCAGGUAAGGUAUGCCAAUUAAGCAUGUUUGAAAAGGGUCUCCAGGUGUCGCAAGGGAUAAACAAAAUGAUGAUUGAUUUGUUAGAUUAGCCCAUGUUACCCACAUGUUUUGUCUAGGAAGUAUCAUCUGUAUUCCCUGCAUCAAAUGUACGCAUGUUAUCAGACCUAAGAUUAAUUCCACUUUCCCGCAAUUUUGCAAACCUUCCAACAUUUUCUUGGAAUAUUCUAGUCCUGACAUUCUUUAUGGGACAAAGUUACCUGCUUUCAACAGCAGCCAAAUAGUAAACUUCCUGUAUGAUGAUGCAUAUGGCUAUUGUGAAUCACUUUGUUGUUGUUUUUCACUCUGGGUAUUAUUAUUAUUCAGAUAUGGUUUCACCCACUUGGCUUUCACCCACUGCAUUCCUGUAUCUGUGGAAACACAAGCAUAACCUCUUCCUCAUGUUAUCAGUUGAUUUGGACCUUCCCAUUAUCCUGUUUGUCCAUUUUUUACCCACACGCAAACCCCUUUCAGCAUAUUCAAAUCUCUUUCAGACCUGAUCUGUGUUUCACAGCCAGUGGAACUGACUGAUCGCCUGGUAGCCGUAAAAAGUUCAAUACAUAUACUGCCUUGAGUAAUCGUGAAUGAGGAUCAUUUUCAGUCCCAGCUCCCCCCCUUCUGUUUAAGAAGUAAUUCUUUCAGUGAUCAGUGUGCACAUUCAGCAAUGGCUUGACGUGUAGGAGAAUGUGGUGUUCCAAACAACUGUUGUAUUCCCCAGUUCAUACAGAAGGUUUGUAGUUUGGCACUUGUAUAUCCCGGACCAUUAUCAGUUUUGAGAGCCGUGGGGACACCUAAGGCUGCAAAGGCUGAUAAUAGAUAUUUGAUAACAUGUUUUUCAGUUUUGCCAGUUUGUGCUGAGGCCCAAAUUGCCAUGGAAUAGCAGUCUAUGGAGACAUGUACAUAUUUCAGUUUACCAAAUUCCGGAAUAUGUGUUAUAUCUAUUUGCCACAAUUCUAAAGGUCUGUAACCUCUUGGGUUAACUGCAAGAGAAUGUGGAUUAUUUAUUACUUGACAAUCAGAACAUGAAGAUAUAAUAGCCUUUGCAUUGGUUAUAGGAAUAUGAAAUUGUCGUUGUAAUACUUUUGCACUCUGAUGAAAAAAAUCAUGGGAUUGCUGGGCUUGAGAAAACAAGUCUCUGGGGGGUGCCACCCAUGCAGGAUACACUAACAAGUCUGCCUGUGCAUAUCCCUGCUUGAGUAUGCUGUCUAUUGUGGUAUGGCUGUGAAUAUGACAAACAUAAUAAUAAUGAUUGUGUUGGGUAAGCACAACAAAUAAGCAGCAAAAAAGCAAAUACAAUUUUUCAUGCUGUAGCUCCUUAAUAUAUGCUUGAUCUAUUCUAUAAACUAUACCUACUACAUAUUAAGAGUCACACACAACAUUAAUUGGUUGUCUGUUCCACUGUUCAAAUAUGAAUACUACUGCCAAUAAUUCUAAAUACUGGGUGGAACAGCCAUCUUCUGCAUGAAUUAUCUGAUGGCUCCACAGCGCGUUUUCUUGCCAAACAUAAGCUGCUUUUCCUGUUUUUCUGCUGGCAUCUGUAAAAACAGUUAAAGCUUCAAAGAGUUGUUGUUUCAGAAGUGGAAAUCCUAAUACUGGUGUGGUAUGGAUAAUGUUGAAUAGUUUAUGUCCUGGACUUUGUUGAAUGAUUUGGCCAUCAAACCCUGACAUGGGAAUUUGUAAAUCAACAGAAUUUUGUGACAACCAAUCAAAAUAUUCUGCUGUAAUAGGGAUUAUUAUCUGUGUUAUUUCUAGUCCACUUAAGCUAUGCACA